GUUUUCUCUUUAUUGUGUGUUUUCUUCCCCACGCCUCGUCUGUGGCUUAUCAGUGAUGCAAGAGGAGUAACACCCGUUUCCUUAGGCCGUGUAAUCCCCAAAUCAGAUUGGGGGAUUGCGAGAGGUGAGGUGACCUUGUACGGGGCUCCCAGAAUGCCACCCACUCCCGCCGCCCACCCGCCCUCCUCAGGGCCUAUUUAGACAGACGGUGUUAAUUGUGCCUGACACGCCCUCCUCGGGGGGCUGGGUCCUCUGCCAGCCUUUGCCCGGCCGCCUCGGUGGGGGCGCCCACCCGGGCAGGGACCGUCCUGCUGGACCCAGGGCUCUGGUGGGCAUCGAGUAGCUGGGGAGGGCCACCCCCUGGGCCUCUGACGCCUGCCCACCCGGUCCAGGUGACUGACCGGAAUGAUAACGACUUGCCGCGCGGUGUUGCCGUCCCCAACCAACCCUGUUUUCUGACAACAAGGGAGCGCGGGAGACCGGAGCGCUGAACCCAAAUCCCUCAGCAGUUGCACUUCAUUAAGUCAAAAUGUGACAAGAA